rnacentral:rRNA from 1 species
AGAGUUUGAUCAUGGCUCAGGACGACGCUGGCCGCGUGCUUAACACAUGCAAGUCGAACGGAAAGGCCCUUCGGGGUACUCGAGUGGCGAACGGGUGAGUAACACGUGGGUGAUCUGCCCUGCACUUUUGGGAUAAGCCUGGGAAACUGGGUCUAAUACCGAAUAUGACCAUGCGCCUCCUGGUGUGUGGUGGAAAGCUUUUGCGGUGUGGGAUGGGCCCGCGGCCUAUCAGCUUGUUGGUGGGGUAAUGGCCUACCAAGGCGACGACGGGUAGCCGGCCUGAGAGGGUGACCGGCCACACUGGGACUGAGAUACGGCCCAGACUCCUACGGGAGGCAGCAGUGGGGAAUAUUGCACAAUGGGCGCAAGCCUGAUGCAGCGACGCCGCGUGAGGGAUGACGGCCUUCGGGUUGUAAACCUCUUUCAGCACAGACGAAGCGCAAGUGACGGUAUGUGCAGAAGAAGGACCGGCCAACUACGUGCCAGCAGCCGCGGUAAUACGUAGGGUCCGAGCGUUGUCCGGAAUUACUGGGCGUAAAGAGCUCGUAGGUGGUUUGUCGCGUUGUUCGUGAAAACUCACAGCUUAACUGUGGGCGUGCGGGCGAUACGGGCAGACUUGAGUACUGCAGGGGAGACUGGAAUUCCUGGUGUAGCGGUGGAAUGCGCAGAUAUCAGGAGGAACACCGGUGGCGAAGGCGGGUCUCUGGGCAGUAACUGACGCUGAGGAGCGAAAGCGUGGGGAGCGAACAGGAUUAGAUACCCCGGUAGUCC